rnacentral:tRNA from 1 species
GACCGCGUAGCUCAGUUGGAAGAGCAUUGGGCUAGUAUUCCAACGGUCGUAGGUUCGAAUCCCACCGUGGCCG